GGGUUGUGAGGUUAAGCGACUAAGCGUACACGGUGGAUGCCCUGGCAGUCAGAGGCGAUGAAGGACGUGCUAAUCUGCGAUAAGCGUCGGUAAGGUGAUAUGAACCGUUAUAACCGGCGAUUUCCGAAUGGGGAAACCCAGUGUGUUUCGACACACUAUCAUUAACUGAAUCCAUAGGUUAAUGAGGCGAACCGGGGGAACUGAAACAUCUAAGUACCCCGAGGAAAAGAAAUCAACCGAGAUUCCCCCAGUAGCGGCGAGCGAACGGGGAGCAGCCCAGAGCCUGAAUCAGUAUGUGUGUUAGUGGAAGCGUCUGGAAAGGCGCGCGAUACAGGGUGACAGCCCCGUACACAAAAAUGCACAUACUGUGAGCUCGAUGAGUAGGGCGGGACACGUGGUAUCCUGUCUGAAUAUGGGGGGACCAUCCUCCAAGGCUAAAUACUCCUGACUGACCGAUAGUGAACCAGUACCGUGAGGGAAAGGCGAAAAGAACCCCGGCGAGGGGAGUGAAAAAGAACCUGAAACCGUGUACGUACAAGCAGUGGGAGCACGCUUAGGCGUGUGACUGCGUACCUUUUGUAUAAUGGGUCAGCGACUUAUAUUCUGUAGCAAGGUUAACCGAAUAGGGGAGCCGAAGGGAAACCGAGUCUUAACUGGGCGUUAAGUUGCAGGGUAUAGACCCGAAACCCGGUGAUCUAGCCAUGGGCAGGUUGAAGGUUGGGUAACACUAACUGGAGGACCGAACCGACUAAUGUUGAAAAAUUAGCGGAUGACUUGUGGCUGGGGGUGAAAGGCCAAUCAAACCGGGAGAUAGCUGGUUCUCCCCGAAAGCUAUUUAGGUAGCGCCUCGUGAAUUCAUCUCCGGGGGUAGAGCACUGUUUCGGCAAGGGGGUCAUCCCGACUUACCAACCCGAUGCAAACUGCGAAUACCGGAGAAUGUUAUCACGGGAGACACACGGCGGGUGCUAACGUCCGUCGUGAAGAGGGAAACAACCCAGACCGCCAGCUAAGGUCCCAAAGUCAUGGUUAAGUGGGAAACGAUGUGGGAAGGCCCAGACAGCCAGGAUGUUGGCUUAGAAGCAGCCAUCAUUUAAAGAAAGCGUAAUAGCUCACUGGUCGAGUCGGCCUGCGCGGAAGAUGUAACGGGGCUAAACCAUGCACCGAAGCUGCGGCAGCGACGCUUAUGCGUUGUUGGGUAGGGGAGCGUUCUGUAAGCCUGCGAAGGUGUGCUGUGAGGCAUGCUGGAGGUAUCAGAAGUGCGAAUGCUGACAUAAGUAACGAUAAAGCGGGUGAAAAGCCCGCUCGCCGGAAGACCAAGGGUUCCUGUCCAACGUUAAUCGGGGCAGGGUGAGUCGACCCCUAAGGCGAGGCCGAAAGGCGUAGUCGAUGGGAAACAGGUUAAUAUUCCUGUACUUGGUGUUACUGCGAAGGGGGGACGGAGAAGGCUAUGUUGGCCGGGCGACGGUUGUCCCGGUUUAAGCGUGUAGGCUGGUUUUCCAGGCAAAUCCGGAAAAUCAAGGCUGAGGCGUGAUGACGAGGCACUACGGUGCUGAAGCAACAAAUGCCCUGCUUCCAGGAAAAGCCUCUAAGCAUCAGGUAACAUCAAAUCGUACCCCAAACCGACACAGGUGGUCAGGUAGAGAAUACCAAGGCGCUUGAGAGAACUCGGGUGAAGGAACUAGGCAAAAUGGUGCCGUAACUUCGGGAGAAGGCACGCUGAUAUGUAGGUGAAGUCCCUCGCGGAUGGAGCUGAAAUCAGUCGAAGAUACCAGCUGGCUGCAACUGUUUAUUAAAAACACAGCACUGUGCAAACACGAAAGUGGACGUAUACGGUGUGACGCCUGCCCGGUGCCGGAAGGUUAAUUGAUGGGGUCAGCGCAAGCGAAGCUCUUGAUCGAAGCCCCGGUAAACGGCGGCCGUAACUAUAACGGUCCUAAGGUAGCGAAAUUCCUUGUCGGGUAAGUUCCGACCUGCACGAAUGGCGUAAUGAUGGCCAGGCUGUCUCCACCCGAGACUCAGUGAAAUUGAACUCGCUGUGAAGAUGCAGUGUACCCGCGGCAAGACGGAAAGACCCCGUGAACCUUUACUAUAGCUUGACACUGAACAUUGAGCCUUGAUGUGUAGGAUAGGUGGGAGGCUUUGAAGUGUGGACGCCAGUCUGCAUGGAGCCGACCUUGAAAUACCACCCUUUAAUGUUUGAUGUUCUAACGUGGACCCGUGAUCCGGGUUGCGGACAGUGUCUGGUGGGUAGUUUGACUGGGGCGGUCUCCUCCUAAAGAGUAACGGAGGAGCACGAAGGUUGGCUAAUCCUGGUCGGACAUCAGGAGGUUAGUGCAAUGGCAUAAGCCAGCUUGACUGCGAGCGUGACGGCGCGAGCAGGUGCGAAAGCAGGUCAUAGUGAUCCGGUGGUUCUGAAUGGAAGGGCCAUCGCUCAACGGAUAAAAGGUACUCCGGGGAUAACAGGCUGAUACCGCCCAAGAGUUCAUAUCGACGGCGGUGUUUGGCACCUCGAUGUCGGCUCAUCACAUCCUGGGGCUGAAGUAGGUCCCAAGGGUAUGGCUGUUCGCCAUUUAAAGUGGUACGCGAGCUGGGUUUAGAACGUCGUGAGACAGUUCGGUCCCUAUCUGCCGUGGGCGCUGGAGAACUGAGGGGGGCUGCUCCUAGUACGAGAGGACCGGAGUGGACGCAUCACUGGUGUUCGGGUUGUCAUGCCAAUGGCACUGCCCGGUAGCUAAAUGCGGAAGAGAUAAGUGCUGAAAGCAUCUAAGCACGAAACUUGCCCCGAGAUGAGUUCUCCCUGACUCCUUGAGAGUCCUGAAGGAACGUUGAAGACGACGACGUUGAUAGGCCGGGUGUGUAAGCGCAGCGAUGCGUUGAGCUAACCGGUACUAAUGAACCGUGAGGCUUAACCUUACAACGCCGAAGGUGUUU
rnacentral:rRNA from 1 species